GAUGAACGCUAGCGGCAGGCUUAAUACAUGCAAGUUGAGGGGCAGCAUGAUAUACGCGAGUAUAUUGAUGGCGACCGGCGGACGGGUGAGUAAUAGGUAGGAGACCUACCUCAUACAGGGGGAUAGCAUAGAGAAAUCUGUGGUAAUACCCCAUGAGGUUAUAUGAAUAGAGGCAUAUAAUCAAAGCAUAAGCGAUUAUGCGGUAUGAGAGGGGCCUACUGACCAUUAGCUAGUUGGUGAGGUAAGGGCUCACCAAGGCGAAGAUGGUUAGGGGUUUUGAGAGAGAGACCCCCCACAUUGGAACUGAGAGACGGUCCAGACUCCUACGGGAGGCAGCAGUAGGGAAUAUUGGGCAAUGGGCGAAAGCCUGACCCAGCCAUGCCGCGUGAAGGAAGACGGCCUUAUGGGUUGUAAACUUCUUUACUACGCGAAUAGAGGUUAGUACGAGAUACUAAUAGGAACCCCCGUAGUGUAGUAAAAGCAACCGGCUAACUCCGUGCC
rnacentral:rRNA from 1 species